CUAUGUGGGCCUUGCUCGCUCAUCUAAUUUUCCGACUUUGGCCUGCUUGGUUCUGUAUUUUUAUUUAUUUUUUUAUUUAUCUUUGUAUCAUUUUUAGACUGAUACUCUUUUUUGUAUUUUUUCCUUAUCCCUUUUUUGUAUUUUUACCUUAUCCUAUGUUAAUUAGGUAUCCCAUUUUGUCUUAGGCUAUUUUAAAUUCUGAUAAAUUGAAUUAUUUUAGGCUAAAAUAUUUUGGCCCAAAUGUCA
rnacentral:lncRNA from 1 species